rnacentral:rRNA from 1 species
CCUACGGGUGGCAGCAGUGAGGAAUAUUGGUCAAUGGACGAGAGUCUGAACCAGCCAAGUAGCGUGAAGGAUGACUGCCCUAUGGGUUGUAAACUUCUUUUAUAUGGGAAUAAAACGAUCCACGUGUGGGAUUUUGUAUGUACCAUAUGAAUAAGGAUCGGCUAAAUCCGUGCCAGCAGCCGAGGUAAUACGGAGGAUCCGAGCUUUAUCCGGAUUUAUUGGGUUUAAAGGGAGCGUAGGUGGAUUGUUAAGUCAGUUGUGAAAGUUUGCGGCCCAACCGUAAAAUUGCAGUUGAAACUGGCAGUCUUGAGUACAGUAGAGGUGGGCGGAAUUCGUGGUGUAGCGGUGAAAUGCUUAGAUAUCACGAAGAACUCCGAUUGCGAAGGCAGUUCACUGGACUGCAACUGACACUGAGGCUCGAAAGUGUGGGUAUCAAACAGGAUUAGAUACCCUUGUAGUC